ensembl:lncRNA
UGGUUACACUGCUGUCAAACUGGUGGAAAUAACAGGAUUAUCUUUGACUAACCAUGGGGUUUCCCACCUCAGGAACUGGAACAUCCUGAAAUCAUUCUGCUCCCAGACACGUCUUCUUUUUUUCCGUUUAGAUUAAAUAAUAUAUUUAGGGCCUCUGAAUGGCCUUAUGGUCUUCUGAGUGUGAAGCCUGCAAAAACAAGUGGGAAGGAAAAAGGCAGGUGGAGGAAAGGCUCAGCGAGAAGGCAAAGCCCUACCAGCCAAACCCAACUUCUCUUCAACUUACGCAAAGGUAUUUGUCCAUCAAGAGAAAGGGUGUGCAGCUGUCAGACUUCCUAUCAGCUGGACUUUGAAACCUCUACGAGCUCUGCUGUCAACACGACUGAUCAGCUUUUAUUGUGUUCAGCUCUGCAAAUUCACAGCCAGAGCCAUCUAUUGCACUCCCAUUUUUCAAUACCGCUCCUAUUUUUUCCACUUUUAUAUAUACGUGCAAAGUGGUAAAAUGCAAGUUUAGAAGGCCUGCUAUGAAGAUCAAUCAUACUUUACAACUGUAUUUUUUACAUGGAAGGUGACCUUACCCUAACCAACCCGGCUCAUUUUGAGACGUUUGUGUGCAUGCCUGCAUACAAGCAGGACUCGGUGAUCCUUAUGGGUCCCUUCCAGCUUGGGACAUUCUGUGAUUCUGUAAUUCUACUGCAUACAUUUAAUGUGUCCAGACUGUG